rnacentral:rRNA from 1 species
AGAUUGAACGCUGGCGGCAUGCCUUACACAUGCAAGUCGAACGCGAAAGGGGGGCAACCCCCGAGUAGAGUGGCGAACGGGUGAGUAAUAUAUCGGAACGUGUCCUGUAAUGGGGGAUAGCUCGGCGAAAGCCGGAUUAAUACCGCAUACGAUCUACGGAUGAAAGUGGGGGAUUCGCAAGGACCUCACGUUAUAGGAGCGGCCGAUAUCGGAUUAGCUAGUUGGUGAGGUAAAGGCUCACCAAGGCGACGAUCCGUAACUGGUCUGAGAGGAUGAUCAGUCACACCGGAACUGAGACACGGUCCGGACUCCUACGGGAGCAGCAGUGGGGAAUAGUUGGACAAGUGGG